UGUCAGGCCGGGUCACCCUGCUAUGGUAACCGAGUAGACCGUACAGUCAGCAACUCGAGAGUGUCUGGCGGCGGGAAAUAACCAGACUCCCUAAGGGGGCCCACGGCUUCGGUCGGAGGAGCUCCUUUAGUUGGGGUGAUGGUCCCGUAAGUGGAGGUAAUGUCACUGAUAUCCAUCAUAUAGCCUCUUUUCUCUAGGUUAGCGGCUGCUGCAAAAACCGUCUCCUCCCCACUUUAGGAGCGGCCUUAAACAAAUUUUGAGGAAAACAACGGAAAAUAGCUCAAGAUUUUCUUUCCGAAGAAAACCCAUCAUGGAUUUCCCGCAGUUAUUACUGAUUGUGGAACGUGUCUAUUGAUGUGUCACCAACUUUCAAAAUGGAAAGACGGACUGAUGAUGAUGAUGAUGACAGAUAUUAUCAUUUUCGUUACCCCAGACUAUAUUUCGUCGAAUGAUUGGGUGAUGUGGAUAAUGAAUCGGAAAGGAUGAGGACAGAUGGCUGUUUCAAAAUAAGUUACUGAAGAUUUUAUUCCGUCCUUACGAUGGGAGUGGCCCAGUGGCUAAGUCAGUUGUUUACGCUCUCAUGAAUAUUCCGUUUUGUAAUGAGCCAUCGAGUUAAUUGGAGGUUGCAUUAGAAAUUUGGGUUGGCAACCACAGAUUGGAGCGGGGUGUGGCCCCAAUCAUUACGAGCAAGAUGUUUGAUUUCUCCUCUCAUAUCGACACACUACAGUUGAAUUCUCGCAUUCACCUAUAAAGACGGUGGGAAGAACGACAGUUCUACCCAGAUUCUGCAUUCUAUUCUUCUGUCGGGUCCGCAGGGACCGCGCGGUCUGAGGCGUUUGCCUUGUGUCGCUUAGUCGCUGGGACCGUGGGUUCGAAUCCCGUUCAAGCUAUGCAUGUUUGUCGGCGGCUUUCUGUGUUGUGCAGUCCUUUGUACAGAUAGAGGCCUUGCGGCGGGCCGAUCCCUCGUCCAAGGUGUACCGAAUGUCUGUGAAUGAAGCCAACGAUAAGUUGUCGUUCCCAGUAUCCCAGUAUUCUUCUGUCAGGUUAAUACUAAUUUAUUUUAUCGAAGUAACUUCAGAAGCUAGAUGACGUUCAAUUUAUCGACAUUUGUGUAAAGCGUGCAUGUAUUUAUACAGAGAGGGCUCUUCUUUGCAUAAUCUGAAUGUGGGUUUUUGGUGACGUUUUUAGUAUCGUUUUUUCGUGACAUUAACAUCAGCUGCCGAGUCUCAGCUCCGACCUGAAUAUUGGUGUGGAAGAACUAAUUGUAUAUUUUGAGGUCUAUUAGCAUGAAUUUAAAUCCGUUUAGUAUAUUCGUUGAUCCAGGUUGAGGUUGAAGUUCUCAUCACAGAUGCUGUUUGGGGAAAGGCGUUCUUGCGAAACAAGUAGGAGUAAAGAAACCUCUGCCAGAUUUCUUAUCAAGUUUCAGACCUUGGGCAUAUAUCCUUUGCUAACUAACUAACUAGAUGGCAUACCGAACCCGAAAGUUCAUCACCGAAUUAACCAAAGCCCUAAACUGGACCCUGUACUGGGCCAACAAAAUCCAGGUUCCUUCAACUCCUAUCUCCCAUAGAUCCCGCCUGAGAUUAUCAUCCCAUGUACAUCCUUUGCUCCUGCAGAUAAUCAGGUUUAUGCUUACUUUGCAGCACGUUGGAAGAUGUUAAAAAUAUUUUGCUCCCACCUGUUAGCCACAAGUAAAUUGGAGUUGUGCUUGAUAAGUUAUUAUAUUUUGCAUCUAGUUGUGCCGUGCUCUUGUCACAGAUCAGUCAAGUAUGACUUAAUAAUUUUAAUUUUUUUAAAAAAUCGCUGUCAGCCGUAUUGGCAUUGAUUCCUCAAUGUCUUCCUUUCUUGUCUCACAUUUAGACGUGGCAUUGGUACGUUCAUCCGUUAUUUAUGAAUCCGUACGAAUCAACAAAAUUUCAAGACACUCACCGUGUCCUGUUUAUCUGUAACUGUGGGAUUCGAAGAAACACGUUUAUUAUGCCUGAAGAAGCAUUUCAGUUUUCCGCGUUGGUUGUGGUAUUACCAAAAAAUUCACACCAUUCUGUAUUCCAUUUAUUCGGUAAUUAAAUUUUGUUUCUGAAGUUGCGGAUUUUGCCACAAUCGCUUCUUAAAUCAGGUGUAAUUUGGUACGGGAUUGUGAGAACUAAUUCUGGAAAUAUUUUUGAAGAAACGUAACGGUUUUCAAAGGAUUUGUGUUCUGCACUUUCUUUGCACUCCUUGACCGAAUCCUGUGUUAAAUGUGAGACGUAAUUUUCUUUGCCAUAGAUGGCUCUGGCAGUGAAAUCAGGAUUGAGUAUAAAUUGUGCAGAGGCAGUGGGCUGGUCACUCACCACUCAAAAAUGCAUACUUCAAGACCAAGAAACCUCCGAAAAGGAAGCGGCGAAAACGAACAACAGGGUUGUAGAGCUACGAAACAACAUCUCACGCAAAAUGAAGAUCCAGUCAUCGCGACUGCUGCACGACAGACCAAAUUACAUGCUUCUGAUAUGCGGAGUCGUAGCAGUGUGGGUUUCAAUCAUUACUGGACAGAAUGUCUCAACACGCAACAUCUGAUACAUUACUCCGUCGAAUACGAAAGACGAGACGCGGGGUGACUUAAGUUAUAUUAUUUAUAAUUUUGUGUUUUUACGCGGAUUUCGAUGUUUUGGGCCACUAUAUUCUACCGCAUAUUCGCCUCUCUUGUUGCUGGUGGCUACUAAGCUUCACAUUCUGAUGAUGAGCCAAGGAUUUUCGAUCGAUGUCACUAACAGUUUCAUCAAGCUCUGAAUUUGGGGUUCUGUCCAAAUUUUGGUUGGCUUGGUGGUGCCCCAAUCAUUACGCGACUGGCCUGAGGUCUGGAAUUCUUUGAAGAUGAAAUGUUUUGAGGUAUUAUUCUACACUUAAUGACACCGAUGCCGGAACCUUAAAAGUCUGCGUAAUUAGUCUUCACAGAUGAGAAAAGAACAACUUAAUAAUACGUAAAUAGGCUUAUCAGUGUCAUCUAAUGAUUUCACAUGACUUCUACAGUCACCUCAUUAUGGCUGUGAUUAAGUUGCUUGGGUUUUCAAUUCAAUUGCCUAUAAAACCUACAGAUGAACGUGACUUAGAAUCACGUACCGCAUUCUGGACCUUAUCACCCUAGGAUUCAUCGAAAUAUGUACAGAAAUUCAUAAGGAAAGUAACGUAUAAUUUCUUGAUCAAUUUGAAAUUCUUACAUAUAUUCAGAAUGUGGUGUGUCUCCUGUAGAUUUUCCAGUCGGCUUCACGCCAUUCUUGGAAAUAUAGAAGAGCCUUGAAGGUGCCAUAUCUGAUGCCACAGACGUAAGCAGCCCAAGCUAUUGUCCGAGGCGCCCGUGGCUGUGCAACUGCAGAUUGUAAAGUUUUCGAUACAACACGUUUCUUAGAAUGGCAUGCAGUGUUACCAGACGUAAUGUGGUCGAAGGAUACUGGAAGUGAAAUUAUUAUUUGAGUUAAACACAACAAUUCCUCUUCUACUUAAGUUGCCCUCUUGAACGCGAGAGGGAAUUGAGGUUUCUGCGUAUGUGAUGACAAAUUAAACUAAACUUAGAGAUAUAAUCUAUUGUCUGGCCGGGUCAGCCUGAUACGGUAACCGAGUAGACCGUACAGCCAGCAACUCGACGCCGAGUGUCGGGCGGCGGUAAAUAACCAGUCUUUCUAAGGGGGCCCACGGCUUCGGUCGGAGGAGCCCCUUUAGGUGGGGUGAUGGUCCCGUCAGUGGAUGAUAUGCCUCUUAAAUCCAUCAUAUGGCGUCUGCUACCCACGUUAGGGGCGGCCUAAAACAAACUUUGAGGAAUGCAUCGGGAAACUACUUCAAGAUUUCCCGCAGUUAAUAUAGAUUCUGGAACGUGUUUAAUGAUGGGUCACCAACUUUCAAAAUGGAAAGACGGACUGAUGAUGAUGAUGAUAGAUAUUAUCAUUCUCGGUACCUCAGACUAUAUAUCGUCGAAUGAGUGGGUGAUAUGAAUAAUGAAUCGGGAAGGAUGAGGACGGAUGGCUGUUUCAAAAUAAGUUACUUAAGAUUUUAUUCCGUCCUUACGAUGGGACUGGCCCAGUGGCUAAGUCAGUUGUUUACGCUCUCAUGAAUAUUCCGUUUUGUAAUGAACCAUCGACUUAAUUGGAGGUUGCAUUAGAAAUUUGGGUUGGCAACCACAGAUUGGGGCGGGGUGGGGCCCCUUACAUUACAAGCAGGAUGUUUGAUUUCUCCUCUCAUUUCGACACACUAUAGUUCAAUACUCGCAUUCUUGGUGGUGUUAUUAUUGUUGUUGUUUUUGAUAUUAAUAUGUGAACAGACAGACGUUCAAUUAAGAGGAGCAGCUUGACUCUAAUUAUUUUGGUCUUAGUUAAUUUUGCGUACUAAAUCUAUAAAGGCGUAGGUGUUAUUAUGUGUAUUAAAUUGCAUUCUUAUCGUCAUGAGUGAUCCAUCUAUAUUACGUGAAUUCUCAGGCACUUAUGACAUUAGAGCUUCCUCGUAUUGUUGCAUAUAAUGUAUCCUCUAGAGACAGUUUUACUGUUCUUUAUAAUGCCUUAAUCACGUCACAUCUAGAGCAUGUCUCGGUCGUAUGAAAUAAUCCCUCACUGACAGACUAAUAAAUUAAAAUAUAUUCAAAGGAAAUUUGUCAGUUUCUGCCAGUAUCGGGUUUUUCAGUCUGAUAUCUCACGUAACUAUGAUUUGAUUUUAACUUCCUUAGAGCUUAGAACACUAUCCCAAAUGAAGACGUCUCGUUGCUUUAUGUCUCAUCAAUGCUUGACGGGUAGUAUAAAUCGCCAUUUCUUCAUUUACAUUAUUUGUGUACGUUUGGCCGGAAGAUGUACAUAAGAGCAUUUCCUACCUUUGUUGUAAACACUGCGUCAAGAUCUAGUCCUUCAGUCACGUGCUUCAGUGCUGGAAGUGACGUGUGUAAAUCUUUAGACGUAUUUUGCUGAAGAGGUUCGAUUCUUUUCCUUCUUCUUCCUUAGCGUGAAUUGAGUGCCAUCGGGCCAGUUCCGAGUUUAAAUAAAUAAAUCUUGCCUUUCCACUGACUUCUAGUUCUUCCUUUAAUCCCUCGUUUGUGUUCGUUUAUAUGUAAGUUUUCUCCUGUCCACUUAACAUUUGUAUGUCAUUUAUAAUAUUUGUGUUCUUCAAUCGGUUCUUCAUUGAUAAUUUUGUAAUUUAUCUGUUCGGAUAACCUAUCGUCAUACUCUCAGUAAUCUCAAGAGGUAAUAAUCUAAUCGCCUCGUCACCCUUUCUUAGAAUUCAGGUUUCGGUGCCAAACUUUAGCGCUGAUUUAGUUGCAAUUUUAUGCGGUCUGAAUGAAGUGCCCGUAUUCAUUUUGUUCCUAAAAUGUCUUUUUUUAACUCCAUUAAGUUUAUUGUAUUUACCCAAUCUUGUUUCAUGCUCUUAUUUCAUUUUUAGUUUUCAGGAUUUUAUUUUUAUUUGCUCUCGUGACGGUAAUAUCUCUUUGAUUUAGAUUUCUUCAUGUGCUUUGCUGUUUCGUCAUUGACUUAUUCUUACGUUUGCUUCAGGUUUUACAUGUUAUGUUAGAUUUUUCUUGGCAUUCUGAAUUAGUAUGUUGACACGGUGUGGGAUAGAGUGGCGUGCUGUUGGUUGUAUGCCGGGGUGGAGUAUAAGAAAGGUGUUUGUGUCAGUUGAGUGCUUCUAGGGUGCAGCAGUGGCAGGAAUUUAGUGAAGCGUGAUUGUAGUAUGUAUGAAUUGUAAAUGAGUGGAUUGAAGUCUGGAGUAGAAAGUUGAAUUGAGCGGAUUAAAAUGGUGUUUGGCGGAGUGGAAUUUAAUGAAGUGUUAGUAGAAUUACAAGGAAUGAGGAGAGAGAGAAAGGGGCGAAUGUGAUGAGAGUGAGGAGUGACUGAAGCGAAAGUAGAUAUAUUUCGAGGAAUUCUGGCUCAACCGUUAAAAUUAACCACCGCAAAGAAAUUCCCAACAAGAAUUUUUUCAAGAAUUCUCCGGAAAUAUUUAGAGAGUUCUGGCGCAAAGAGAAAGUUAACCAUCACAACGAAUAUUCCGAAACAAAUUUUUUUCAAUAAUUUUAAUGUUUUCUGAAAAGAAUUUAAUGUUUUCAACAAAUACUUUCCGAAAGCAAUUUGUCCAAGAAUUUUUCGAAAACAAUUUCCGCAAUGAAUUUUCCUAAAAUAAUUUGUUUUCAGGAUGCAGCUUCUCCUCAUCCUCGGUAAUAAUCUCUCCCCAAGGUUUUAAUUUUAAAAAUAUUUCACCUCUUCUUCCCAACACAAUAUUUCGUGUUCUUUCAAACUGUAAAACUAUUUCAUUCUUAAUAAAUGAACACUUGUAAAACAAGUGUGCGUUGGAGUCUGUUUGUUGGAGUGUUCAAAUUUCUAACGCCAAAUAAACUUAUGAGAUGUGUAUUCAUUGAUUUUGCCAGAUUGUUCGGAAGUUUAUAUUUUGGCAGAAUACGACAUUUUAUUAUGGACCAAGUCAUAAAACUUGCUUAAUACAUAUGUUUAUGUGAGGGUUCGUAGUAGAAGAAGAAUAUGUUUCCACUGUUUGUUUCUUUCAUUUACAUUGCUGUUGUUGAAAUGGUUGGAUGAAUUUGUGAUUAUGUAAACCACACUCUAUUUUAAGUGUACUUAAUUUGGUUUUCUUUUCUUUUCUUUUUUUACCCUCCUUGAACAUAAUGACGGUGGG